rnacentral:rRNA from 1 species
AGUGAACGCUGGCGGUAGGCCUAACACAUGCAAGUCGAACGGCAGCACAGUAAGAGCUUGCUCUUACUGGUGGCGAGUGGCGGACGGGUGAGGAAUACAUCGGAAUCUACUUUUUCUUGGGGGAUAACGUAGGGAAACUUACGCUAAUACCGCAUACUACCUACGGCUGAAAGCAGGGGAUCUUCGCACCUUGCGCGAUUGAAUUAGCCGAUGUCGGAUUAGCUAGUUGGCGGGGUAAAGGCCCACCAAGGCGACGAUCCGUAGCUGGUCUGAGAGGAUGAUCAGCCACACUGGAACUGAGACACGGUCCAGACUCCUACGGGAGGCAGCAGUGGGGAAUAUUGGACAAUGGGCGAAAGCCUGAUCCAGCAAUACCGCGUGGGUGAAGAAGGCCUUCGGGUUGUAAAGCCCUUUUGUUGGGAAAGAAAAGCAGCAGGUUAAUACCCCGAUGUUCUGACGGUACCCAAAGAAUAAGCACCGGCUAACUUCGUG